rnacentral:tRNA from 1 species
GCGGGGGUUCCCGAGUGGCCUAAGGGGUCAGGCUUAGGACCUGAUGGAUUAGUCCUCCGUGGGUUCGAAUCCCACCCCCCGCACCA